GUGAAUCAUCAAAUCUUUGAACGCAUAUUGCACUCUCUGAUAUUCCGGAGAGUAUGCCUGUUUGAGGGUAAGUAAAAUGAAUAUUUAACCAAUUUUUUUUGGUCAAAGCAAAUGAGCUCUGCGCGUUUAUAGCGGUAGUUUGAAAUAUAUGGUCAAGACCCAGUUUAGUCGAGACGCGUAAUAAUAUUAUUUCGCGACAUCUUCA
rnacentral:misc_RNA from 1 species